ensembl:snRNA U6 U6 spliceosomal RNA
UCACUUUGGCAGUCAAUACAUCAAAAUUGGAGCAACACAGAGAUUAGCUUGGUCUCUGUUCAAGGUUGACACCAAUGUAUAAAGUUUUCUGUAUUUUU